rnacentral:rRNA from 1 species
GGGUUGUGAGGUUAAGCGACUAAGCGUACACGGUGGAUGCCCUGGCAGUCAGAGGCGAUGAAGGACGUGCUAAUCUGCGAUAAGCGUCGGUAAGGUGAUAUGAACCGUUAUAACCGGCGAUUUCCGAAUGGGGAAACCCAAGUGUGAUUCGUCACACUAUCAUUAACUGAAUCCAUAGGUUAAUGAGGCGAACCGGGGGAACUGAAACAUCUAAGUACCCCGAGGAAAAGAAAUCAACCGAGAUUCCCCCAGUAGCGGCGAGCGAACGGGGAGCAGCCCAGAGUCUGAAUCAGUGUGUGUGUUAGUGGAAGCGUCUGGAAAGGCGCGCGAUACAGGGUGACAGCCCCGUACACAAAAAUGCACAUGCUGUGAGCUCGAUGAGUAGGGCGGGACACGUGGUAUCCUGUCUGAAUAUGGGGGGACCAUCCUCCAAGGCUAAAUACUCCUGACUGACCGAUAGUGAACCAGUACCGUGAGGGAAAGGCGAAAAGAACCCCGGCGAGGGGAGUGAAAAAGAACCUGAAACCGUGUACGUACAAGCAGUGGGAGCACGCUUAGGCGUGUGACCGCGUACCUUUUGUAUAAUGGGUCAGCGACUUAUAUUCUGUAGCAAGGUUAACCGAAUAGGGGAGCCGAAGGGAAACCGAGUCUUAACUGGGCGUUAAGUUGCAGGGUAUAGACCCGAAACCCGGUGAUCUAGCCAUGGGCAGGUUGAAGGUUGGGUAACACUAACUGGAGGACCGAACCGACUAAUGUUGAAAAAUUAGCGGAUGACUUGUGGCUGGGGGUGAAAGGCCAAUCAAACCGGGAGAUAGCUGGUUCUCCCCGAAAGCUAUUUAGGUAGCGCCUCGUGAACUCAUCUCCGGGGGUAGAGCACUGUUUCGGCAAGGGGGUCAUCCCGACUUACCAACCCGAUGCAAACUGCGAAUACCGGAGAAUGUUAUCACGGGAGACACACGGCGGGUGCUAACGUCCGUCGUGAAGAGGGAAACAACCCAGACCGCCAGCUAAGGUCCCAAAGUCAUGGUUAAGUGGGAAACGAUGUGGGAAGGCCCAGACAGCCAGGAUGUUGGCUUAGAAGCAGCCAUCAUUUAAAGAAAGCGUAAUAGCUCACUGGUCGAGUCGGCCUGCGCGGAAGAUGUAACGGGGCUAAACCAUGCACCGAAGCUGCGGCA